rnacentral:rRNA from 1 species
CCCUUAGUUAUCCUAGGCCGCACGCGUGUUACAAUGACUUUUUCAGCAAGUUCUCCUGGCCCGAGAGGGUGCGGGUAAUCUGAAAUCAAAGUCGUGUUAGGGAUAGAUCUUUGCAAUUAUAGAUCUUGAACGAGGAUUUUGUAGUAAGUGCGCGUCAUCACCGCGUACUGACUGCGUCCCUGCUGUUUGUACACACCGCCCGUCGCUUCUACCGAUUGAAUGUUCCGGUGAGUAAUUUGGACCCGGGGGAGCUUGCUCCUCUGGGGAAGUUUCGCAAACCUAUGCAUUUAGAGGAAGAAGAAGUCGUAACA